UCCCUGGUGGCUCAGAGGUUAAAGCAUUUGCCUCCAAUUCAGAAGACCCAGGUUAGAUCCCUGGGUCGGGAA
rfam:TPA: Bos taurus chromosome 1, whole genome shotgun sequence.